CUAGGAUUCCCUUAGUAGCGGCGAGCGAACAGGGAUAAGCCCAGCACCGAAUCCCGCAGUUAUUGCUGCUGGGAAAUGUGGUGUUAAAAAGCAUCCGUCAUCCUAGAAUUGUGUGACGCGUCCAAGUCCAUCUUGAACGGGGCCAUUGCCCAUAGAGGGUGCCAGGCCCGUAGAGACCGUCGCCUCUUCUUGGAGGAUGUCUUUCGAGAGUCAGGUUGCUUGAGAGUGCAGCCCUAAGUGGGUGGUAAACUCCAUCUAAGGCUAAAUAAAACCACGAGACCGAUAGCGAACAAGUACCGUGAGGGAAAGUUGAAAAGAACUUUGAAGAGAGAGUUCAAUAGUACGUGAAACCGUUUAGGGGUAAACCUGAGAAACCCGAAAGGUCGACUGGAGAGAUUCAAUCGCGUUUCAGUUGGAUGAUCUCGCCUUCGGUGACAGAAGGCGCGCGCGUGCGUUAGCCCGUGCGUGCCCCAGGCACCGACUGUUUGAUUUCAUUUCAGUUGAACGCGUGCACUUCUCUCCUUGUAGGACGUCGCGAUCCGUUGGAUGUCGGUCUAAGGUCCACGGUGGAGCCCGUGUGUAUAUGAUUUAUCAUUGCACGCGGACCCGUGGUAACCCGGCCGACUUGUUCGACGGUAUACUGAAGGCGUGAGGCCGCUACAAGAGUUAGCGUCUGGCCCAUGGCAAGCAUGCCAAUCGUAACGGUGGUCGGACAUGUGCCGGUACCGUCGAUUGGUCGCUGUUCGCCAUGGUGUUCUUGGACAGACCUCAUUUGAAACGCCGAUCUGCGACGCUAUAGCUUUGGGUACUUUCAGGACCCGUCUUGAAACACGGACCAAGGAGUCUAGCAUGUGCGCAAGUCAUUGGGACUUUUAUAAACCCAAAGGCGCAAUUAAUGUGAAAGCUUGUCUUGUACAGGCCAAGGGAAGAUGAAAGGUUGUGCAUGACCUUUUUAACAGAGGAGCCUUUUAGCACUCCCGGGGCGUCUCAUUCUCAUUGCGAGUGGAGGCGCACCAAGAGCGUACACGCUGGGACCCGAAAGAUGGUGAACUAUGCCUGGUCAGGAUGAAGUCAGGGGAAACCCUGAUGGAGGUCCGAAGCGAUUCUGACGUGCAAAUCGAUCGUCGGAACUAGGUAUAGGAGCGCAAGACUAAUCGAAUCAUCUAGUAGCUGGUUCCCUCCGAAGUUUCCCUCAGGAUAGCUGGCGUUUGUUGGGAACGAGUCUCAUCCGGUAAAGCGAAUGAUUAGAGGCAUUGGGGUCGAAACGACCUCAACCUAUUCUCAAACUUUAAAUGGGUGAGAUCUCCGGCUUGCUUGAACAUGAAGCCGUGAGAAUUAAAAUAAUGAAUUGAAUAAAUUUUUUUUUAAAAUUGGAUCAGAAUGCCAAGUGGGCCAUUUUUGGUAAGCAGAACUGGCGCUGUGGGAUGAACCAAACGCCGAGUUAAAGCGCCCAAAUCGACGCUAAUUAGAUACCAUGAAAGGCGUUGGUAACUUAAGACAGUAGGACGGUGGCCAUGGAAGUCGGAAUCCGCCAAGGAGUGUGUAACAACUCACCUACCGAAGUUACUAGCCCUGAAAAUGGAUGGCGCUGAAGCGUCGUGCUUAUACUCGGCCGUCAGUGGCAUGUGCGGUCGAUUGUUAUGGUGUUUGCGUCUGUGAUGGAUGCAUCCAUUCGACAACGAUCAUGAAGCCCUGACGAGUAGGAGGGUCGCGGCGGUGAGCGCAGAAGGGCUGGCCGUGAGGCCGUCUGGAGCCGCCGUCGGUGCAGAUCUUGGUGGUAGUAGCAAAUACUCCAGCGAGACCCUGGAGGACUGACGUGGAGAAGGGUUUCGUGUGAACAGCCGUUGCACACGAGUCAGUCGAUCCUAAGCCCUAGGCGAAAGCCGAUGUUGAUGUGGUGGGUGUAAGGGCACACACCCGUCGGGCGAAAGGGAAUCCGGUUCCUAUUCCGGAACCCGGCAGCGGAACCGUUAACAAGUCGGGCCCUCAUAUGAGAGUUCGUCGGGGCAACCCAAAAUGACCCGGAGACGCCGUCGGGAGAUUCGGGAAGAGUUUUCUUUUCUGCAUGAGCGUUCGAGUUCCAUGGAAGCCUUUAGCAGGGAGAUAUGGUUUGGAACGCGAAGAGCACCGCAGUUGCGGCGGUGUCCGAAUCUUCCCCUCGGACCUUGAAAAUCCGGGAGAGGGCCACGUGGAGGAGUCGCGCCGGCUCGUACCCAUAUCCGCAGCAGGUCUCCAAGGU
rnacentral:rRNA from 1 species